rnacentral:tRNA from 1 species
GCCUCGGUGGUGCAGUGGUUAGAGCGUCCGCCCGGAGAGCGGAAGGUCGCGGGUUCGAUCCCCGGCCGCGGCA